UACACUCCUACGGGAGGCAGCAGUGGGGAAUAUUGGCCAAUGGGGGCAACCCUGAUCCAGCCAUGCCGCGUGAGUGAUGAAGGCCCUAGGGUUGUAAAGCUCUUUUGUGCGGGAAGAUAAUGACGGUACCGCAAGAAUAAGCCCCGGCUAACUUCGUGCCAGCAGCCGCGGUAAUACGAAGGGGGCUAGCGUUGCUCGGAAUCACUGGGCGUAAAGGGUGCGUAGGCGGGUCUUUAAGUCAGGGGUGAAAUCCUGGAGCUCAACUCCAGAACUGCCUUUGAUACUGAGGAUCUUGAGUCCGGAAGAGGUGAGUGGAACUGCGAGUGUAGAGGUGAAAUUCGUAGAUAUUCGCAAGAACACCAGUGGCGAAGGCGGCUCACUGGUCCGGUACUGACGCUGAGGCACGAAAGCGUGGGGAGCAAACAGGAUUAGAAACCCCGGUAGUCCCA
rnacentral:rRNA from 1 species